CGCAUUCAAAAAUUCAUUCAAUGUUUUUUUCAUGAUUUGAAAAAUAUAGGGCCCAAGUGCAGAGCGUAAAAUCAAUGGUGCUUCUUAGCACUACGAUGUACUGUACUGUAACAGUAAAGGCGAGGCAAACUGAAUCAGAAAAUAAUUUAAAAUGACUGAAAAGCAAGUUGGUACUUCAAUAGUAUUUCAAUUAUUAUACGCAGCUUCUCAGAAAAUGAUUAUUCAAACAAUUCUCUUGAUUUGCUGAAGAAAUUAUACAAAUUCUGAUCAUUUUUAUGUCUAGAUGGAGUUUUCUCAGUGAUAAAACUUUUCCCACUUGGGUAAAUGUUCAAACAUUUUUUAUCGAUAGAACACUUUAAAAUAUAAGAUACUUCCUAAGAUUGACCAAUGAAGCUAUUGUGAAGAAGUUAUUAAACAUGUAUUCAAUAUGAUGUUAAUCUUGAUUAAAUGCAACUGAUCUCUCCCACAUUAUGAAUACCAAAGUGAAGAACGAUUUUAAGAACGCAAAUUUGACCAAAAUUUCUCCGUCUUCUUUUGAUAGGUGAACAUAAUGAAUCAGAUACAGUUGUAUUCAGAAUUCUUAAAAUGGAUAUAUUCAACUGUGGGACCAAAGUGUUAUCAA